rnacentral:rRNA from 1 species
UGAGGAUAAUACUUGAUAAAAGAUUUUCUUUGGAAUAAGAAAUCUUUCAAAUUCGAGCUUAAGGACAGGACUGCGGCUGAUUAGGUAGUUGGCGGGGUAAAUGCCCACCAAGCCAAUAAUCAGUAAGGGCUUUUAGCGAAGGAGCCCUGAGAAGGAAUCUGAGACACUAUUCCUAGCCUUACGGGGUGCAGCAGUUAGGGAACUUUUCCAAUGCGCGCAAGCGUGAGAAAAUGAGUCGGAGUGUUAUUCAUUAAUAUGAAUAACUUUUUUUUGUUGUAAAAAGACAGACGAAUAAGGAGUGGGCAAGAUCGGUGCCAGCCGCCGCGGUAAUCCCGACGCUCCAAGUCGCAACCACAAUUAUUGGGUCUAAAACAUCCGUAGCUUGUUUAGUGAGUUUCUUGUGAAAUCUUGUCUCUUAAAGGCAAGGCGUGCAAGAAGUACUACUAGACUUGGGACUGGAAGAAGUAAGAAGUACAGUAGAGGUAGUAGUAAAAUACGUUAAUCUUUAUUGGACUAACAACAGCGAAGGCAUCUUACUAGUACAGAUCUGACAGUGAGGGAUGAAGGCUAGGGUCGCAAAACGGAUUAGAUACCCGUGUAGUCCUAGCAGUAAACACUGCUC